AACGAACGCUGGCGGCAGGCUUAACACAUGCAAGUCGAGCGCCCCGCAAGGGGAGCGGCAGACGGGUGAGUAACGCGUGGGAACGUACCUUUUGGUUCGGAACAACUCCGGGAAACUGGAGCUAAUACCGGAUAAGCCCUAACGGGGAAAGAUUUAUCGCCGAAAGAUCGGCCCGCGUCUGAUUAGCUAGUUGGUGAGGUAACGGCUCACAAAGGCGACGAUCAGUAGCUGGUCUGAGAGGAUGAUCAGCCACACUGGGACUGAGACACGGCCCAGACUCCUACGGGAGGCAGCAGUGGGGAAUAUUGGACAAUGGGCGCAAGCCUGAUCCAGCCAUGCCGCGUGAGUGAUGAAGGCCUUAGGGUUGUAAAGCUCUUUUGUCCGGGAAGAUAAGGACUGUACCGGAAGAAUAAGCCCCGGCUAACUUCGU
rnacentral:rRNA from 1 species